rnacentral:rRNA from 1 species
AUUGAACGCUGGCGGCAGGCCUAACACAUGCAAGUCGAGCGGAUGAAGGGAGCUUGCUCCUGGAUUCAGCGGCGGACGGGUGAGUAAUGCCUAGGAAUCUGCCUGGUAGUGGGGGAUAACGUCCGGAAACGGGCGCUAAUACCGCAUACGUCCUGAGGGAGAAAGUGGGGGAUCUUCGGACCUCACGCUAUCAGAUGAGCUUAGGUCGGAUUAGCUAGUUGGUGGGGUAAAGGCCUACCAAGCCGACGAUCCGUAACUGGACUGAGAGGAUGAUCAGUCACACUGGAGCUGAGACACGGUCCAGACUCCUACGGGAGGCAGCAGUGGGGAAUAUUGGGCAAUGGGCGAAAGUCUGAUCCAGUCAUGCCGAGUGUGUUACGACGGUCUUCGGAUUGUAAAGAACUUUAAGUUGGGAGGAAGGGCAGUAAGUUAAUACCUUGCUGUUUUGACGCUACCAACAGAAUAAGCACCGGCUAACUUCGUG